rnacentral:misc_RNA from 1 species
UCCGGAUUAAACACCGGCAGUCUUAUGUGAAAAUGCAACACAUAACAGGGGUUGCGCUCGUUAUAGGACUUAACCCAACAUCUCACGACACGAGCUGACGACAGCCAUGCAGUGCCUGGCCAUCAGCUCCUUGCGGCACAUCCCUGUUUCCAGGGACUUCUGAUGAUUUCAAGCCUAGGUAAGGUUCUUCGUUCAGUAUCGAAUUAAACCACAUGCUCCACCGCUUGUGCGGGCUCCCGUCAAUUCCUUUGAGUUUUAGCCUUGCGGCCGUACUGCCCAGGCGGGAUGCUUAACGCGUUAGCUUCGAGACCGGAAGGGUCGAUACUUCCAGCCCCUAGCAUCCAUAGUUUACGGCGUGGACUAC